UCACCCUCCAGCGCUCAUCCUAUCAGCUCCAUCAACUCUAAUUAACAAAACCGGAGUAAAGUUAGUUUGCAUAGAGAGCCUGCAGUUUGGAAUAAUCACGAAGACUUAAUCGCCUCCUCCUCCUCCUGCUGCCCUCCCCUUUGGAUCUUGUGUCAAUAUUUGACCAGAGCAAACGCACCGUGUGACAGGUGUACCAGAGACAGUCCUCUCACUUUAAAAGCUCAUAUCCUUUUUUCACUCCUAUACCUUUACAGAUAAAUGGCACGGUUGUUAUUUUUAACCCGGCUAUAUAAACUCGCACUUUCGAGCAAAAGGUUCAUUUUCCCCUUAUGAUCGCAAGAGGGAGAAAUCGCGAGUUUUCAUUUCUGUCUUCAACUGCCGACGUGUCACCUUUAGUAAAACCCGACAGGUGAGACGAUUUCAUUAUGAGCCCGGGGGAUUUACUCUACAGUCUGGAGCAAAAAAAAAAAAAAAAUAAGGAAAAAGAAAUGUUUAAAAUGCAGUCAAGAAUGACAUCCCAGACGGGUAGACGUACAGCAUCUGUACACGGAAAGCUUCAUCCGAAGAUGUCAAGAAGUGAAGAAGUGGAGCAGCAGGGACCCCCGAGCAGUUUUCUGUAUUUGCCUCACGUUGAGCCGGUCGUACAAUACCUAAAGCUGAAGUUUUGUUCGUUCGGCUCGCGUUAAGCAGCUGCAGAUUUUCAACGAUUCUGCCAAGCGAAAUUCUGGAGAAGAAGAAAAUCUUUUUUGCCUCCUUCACUGUGCACCAUACUAAUAACAUAUUUUUAUUUAGGAAAUGAUGAAAUAUCACGUAAAAGGCACUUUGAAGAGAAAGCACGGUGAAUAAAUCCUGAUCCUUUUUAAAGGAGGCAAUUCAGGACAGUGUUUGGACGUUUCCAUAAAAUAUUAUAAAAAACACUAUUGUUACUUUAUUUCAAGGGCGACUGCUUAAAAUUAUGUACUUUUUUUGUAAAAUAAAUCCCUUUUUAGUUUUCAGAUAUUAAGAAAGCCAGACAACAACUGAAAAUCAAAAGAAUUUAGUACUUUUAUAAGUUGGGUCCUUAUGGCAGGAGUAGCGUGUAACACCAUUUCGUAUCUUGCAGGUGAUCUCCUGGGAACAAAGUAUGGAACUAGAAAUUUCAUGGCAAAACUGCAAUUCAAAUUGGAUUUUUUUGAAAAAUAUUUUAGCGCUAACUUUGAAUGUUUUUGAAAAGGUUUAGAUUCAUCCAUAUAGAGAACUAUUAUUAAUUCAUAUUAAUACAGACCUCCGUAAUCCUGAUCUGGGAGAUUUUCUAAUCUGGGUUAGAAAAUGGAUGACUGUUUCUUAUGGAUCCUGUGGAUCUUUGUUAAAUUUACAUUAAAUUAGCACUUAAAUCUGUGGGUAUAUACUGUAUGUAUAUUUAUAUAGCCUACUCUAUGCACUGCCAGCCCAUACAUAAUCUGGCAAUGCUAUUCUGAGGGAAAUCACCUAUGGGUGAAUGUUUAUUGCAUGUAAUAAAAACAUUUUGUUUUCUCCGGGUAUAUGAACUUUCAUUCUUUGAAGUCUGAAUGCCUUUAGCAGUGUAACUGAAAUACGUUCUGAAAUGGUUCAUGAAUGGAACUUUACUGAGUUAUUUGGUUCCUUGUUGAAUCAUUUCUCAACAAAUAAACCAUUUUAUUCUGGAAAGGGUUUUUUUGAAUAUAAAGUUGGUUCUUUGGGCUUGAAGAGGUUCCUAAUUUGUGCACAACAUUGAAAUCUUUAAUUUAUAUUAGCAGGAUACUGACAGAUCAAGAAAACCUGAACUUACCCUGUGUGGAUGUAUAUACAGCAAGAGAUCUUUUCAAAAUCUUGUUAUCAUAUGUUCAUUUAUGAAACCCUUUACAAUCUAAAUAAAGGUUCUUUUUGGAUCUCA